rnacentral:rRNA from 1 species
CCUAUCAGGUAGUAGUGGGUGUAGCGUACCUACUAGCCUACGACGGGUACGGGUUGUGAGAGCAAGAGCCCGGAGAUGGAUUCUGAGACACGAAUCCAGGCCCUACGGGGUGCAGCAGGCGCGAAAACUUUACAAUGCUGGCAACAGCGAUAAGGGAACCUCGAGUGCCAGGUUACAAAUCUGGCUGUCGAGAUGCCUAAAAAGCAUUUCAUAGCAAGGGCCGGGCAAGACCGGUGCCAGCCGCCGCGGUAACACCGGCGGCUCGAGUGGUAACCGUUAUUAUUGGGUCUAAAGGGUCUGUAGCCGGCCGGAUAAGUCUCUGGAGAAAUCUGGCAGCUUAACUGUCAGGCUUUCAGGAGAUACUGUCUGGCUCGAGGCCGGGAGAGGUGAGAGGUACUUCAGGGGUAGGGGUGAAAUCUUGUAAUCCUUGAAGGACCACCAGUGGCGAAGGCGUCUCACCAGAACGGACCUGACGGCAAGGGACGAAAGCUAGGGGCACGAACCGGAUUAGAUACCCGGGUAGUCCUAGCCGUAAACGAUACUCGCUAGGUGUCGGCCACGGUGCGACCGUUGUCGGUGCCGUAGGGAAGCCG